AACGCGAAGAACCUUACCUAGGCUUGACAUGUGACUGCACGCCCUGUGAAAGCAGGGCUCCUUCGAGGGUGUCACACAGGUGCUGCAUGGCUGUCGUCAGUUCGUGCCGUGAGGUGUUUGGUUAAGUCCACCAACGAACGCAACCCCUGCGUCCAUUUGCCAACGGGUAAUGCCGGGAACUAUGGACGGACUGCCCCUUCAAACGGGAGGAAGGUGGGGAUGACGUCAAGUCAGUAUGGCCCUUACGCCUAGGGCUGCACACGUGCUACAAUGGCCGGUACAGAAGGAUGCGAGACCGCGAGGUGGAGCAAAACCCCAAAACCGGCCCCAGUUCAGAUUGGAGUCUGCAAUUCGACUCCAUGAAGUUGGAUUCGCUAGUAACGGCGCAUCAGCAUUCGGCGCCGUGAAUACGUUCCCGGGCCUGUACACACCG
rnacentral:rRNA from 1 species